CACGUAAGGAGCGAGCGUUGUUCGGAAUUAUUGGGCGUAAAGGGCAUGUAGGCGGUUAUAUAAGUCCGAUGUGAAAGCACGCAGCUUAACUGCGAUGUUGCGUUGGAAACUGUAUGACUAGAAUCCGAGAGGGGUAAGUGGAAUUCCUAGUGUAGGGGUGAAAUCUGUUGAUAUUAGGAAGAACACCAGAGGCGAAGGCGACUUGCUGGCUCUGGAUUGACGCUGAGGUGCGAAAGCGUAGGUAGCGAACAGG
rnacentral:rRNA from 1 species